CCUACGGGUGGCAGCAGUGAGGAAUAUUGGUCAAUGGACGCAAGUCUGAACCAGCCAUGCCGCGUGCAGGAAGACGGCUCUAUGAGUUGUAAACUGCUGUUGUACGAGGGUAAACGCAGAUACGCGUAUCUGUCUGAAAGUAGCGUACGAAUAAGGAUCGGCUAACUCAGUGCCAGCAGCCGCGGUAAUACGGAGGAUUCAAGCGUUAUCCGGAUUUAUUGGGUUUAAAGGGUGCGUAGGCGGUCGGAUAAGUUAGAGGUGAAAUCCCGAGGCUCAACUUCGGAAUUGCCUCUGAUACUGUUCGGCUAGAGCGUAGUUGCGGUAGGCGGAAUGUCUGGUGUAGCGGUGACAUGCUUAUAGAUCAUCCAGAACACCGAUUGCGAAGGCAGCAUACCCGCGCCCGACUGACGCUGAGGCACG
rnacentral:rRNA from 1 species